rnacentral:rRNA from 1 species
UACGGAGGGUGCAAGCGUUAUCCGGAUUCACUGGGUUUAAAGGGUGCGUAGGCGGACAGGUAAGUCAGUGGUGAAAUCUCCGAGCUUAACUUGGAACUGCCGUUGAUACUAUAGACCUUGAAUGCUGUGGAGGUGAGCGGAAUAUGUCAUGUAGCGGUGAAAUGCUUAGAUAUGACAUAGAACACCAAUUGCGAAGGCAGCUCACUACCCAGAUAUUGACACUGAGGCACGAAAGCGUGGGGAUCAAACAGG